UUUUUGUUAAAUUUGCAAGAGUUCGUAAAGAACUGGAUUGAGUAGCACUGUAUACAUCAUGAAGAGCAUUGGGGUCUGUCUUGGGUUCUGGACGCUUAGUUUCUAACUGUGUUGCUAAUUGGAGACACGGCAUACCAUCCAAUAACUAACAUUCACUUAGGCGAGGCCUCUUGUUAGCAACAGCAAAGGCUAUAAAUCCACGUUCAAAUAGUCUUGAUGGUUUUGGGAAAAUGGCUGACUUCUUGUCAUAUCCCGUUGGCUCACAUGGUUUUUGCUGGACGUUGGUCAGCUCUGUACCCCAUCGUGUGGUGUUUUCCACCAUCACUUCUGACACCAAAUGCAUGUCAUUUUUCCACACCAAUAGCCAAUUCUCCAGUUCUCUGACACCAGCUGGGUGACCAACGAUUCAAUUCAGUCCUGGCACUCUCUACCUGGAGUUAGCGUCAGACCCCACAUGUUACAGGCUCAGUCCUAUAAGACUGCCCCCGCUUCAGACGCUAGCCACAAGUGGGGUCCCCAGGUGACCCACACUUCUGCCCAGCUGCCUACAAAUUCAGGAGUUCCCUGCCUCCCCCAAUUUGAUAAUUCACUAGGUGGACUCAGAACUCAGGAAAGUGCCUAACUUACUUUCACAGUGUACUAUAAUGAGUACAAAUGAACAGCGUGGGGCCAGGUCUGGAAGGGCCUGAAGCAUAGGAGCCUUGUGCCCAUGGAAUUGGGAUGUGCCAUCCUCCCAGCGUAUGGAUGUGUUCACCAAACUCCAUAGAUUAGGGUUUUUUAUAGAGGUUCCAUUACAUAGGUGUGAUUGAUUCAAUCAUUGGCCAUUGGUGACUCAACUCAAUGUCCAGCCCCCUCCCCUCCCUGGAGGUCAGAGGGUGGGGCUGAAAUUUCCAACCCCCUAAUCGUGGCUGGAUCUUUCCAGUGACCAUCCCCCAUCCUGAAACUAUCUAACCCCCAAGUCCCCUGAGUCAUCUCAUUAGCAUACAAAGACACUUAUCACUCAGAAGAUUCCAAGGGUUUUAGGAGCUCCAUGCCAGACCAAAUCUUUGUUUUUUUAAUACUAUAUCUUUUGUUCACUUGGGCUUCUACAUUAGGAUUAUUUUCAAUUUCAGGACUUUUUUUGCUGAAUUGUUUCAAAGCCACUUCUCGAUUUGAAGACAGUUACUUUGGUUAAAAUCAGAUGAUAUAAUCCACAUAUCCGUAAUGAAUCCUCUGGGUACAAGUGACCUGCGAAUGUCACACAAUGCUAAAACCCCAAAAUGGGGGACAAAACGUGGGCGCGAACUCCCUGUAUUUUGCGUGCAAGAGCAACCUUCUGGCUUAUGGGCCAAGUGGAGGCCAGUGUCAAUUUGAAUAAUAAAUAUUUGUAAAUCUUACUUUCUUUGGAUGACCAAAUCAGUGAAGAUUCUUAAGGUUGAGUGAUUCAUUCAUCCAUUCAUCUCACAAAUAUGUAUUGGGAGCUUACUGUGUUCCAGAUGCUGUGGGCGGUGCUUGAAGCCACAAGAUUGAAUGACAUGGUCCUUACCUUUGGGAAACACACAGUUCAGUCAUCAUCCAGAAGGGCAGACAGACAGUUCCACUGUGGGUGUAAGUAUCACGGGGUGGUGGCAGGUGCUGGGAGCAGUGCAGGGGCACCUCAGUCAGUCGUGAGUCAUAGGAAGAGUCAAAGAUAAACUUCCAGCAGGAGGUGAUGCUCGGGCUGUUUUGAAGGUGAAAGAAGAGCCGUGACCUGUGUUAUGAUAACAAGAUGCAGGAAACUAAGAGAAGCGUGGUGAAGCCAGAGGGAAUUUUCCUGAGGUUGAGUUGGAUGGAAAACAGGGCUGGCUGAAAAUGCAGAUUCCAGGGCCCUCCCAGACCUUCUGGAUCGGAGUCUCUGGUGUGGGCUGGGCCCUCGGCCGUCUCUAGCCUACUGCUCAGCCCGAGCUGCUGCGUUAGGUAAGGUGGAGAAUCACCGUUGGUCCCGGGCUUUUCUGCAGCCUCUGGGGGAGGAGGCUGGGUGGUUCAUGGAGCUGAUUGUCAACCAAACCUCUCACUCUGUUGCUGAGGCCUGCUGGUCCGCGCCAUCGCCCCAACCUUGGCAUGAGCAAGUUCUUUCUGACCUUCUCUUGCAACAGCAGGCCUGAGCUUACAUCACCAGUCCGGGAGAGAAGCAGGAGCGGCCUGCCGGCACACUGUCCAGUGCCUCAGAUGGAAGUGGACCCGGGUCUGUUCAGAGCUCCUGCCGUGUGCCCAGGAGACCAGACGCACCGGCAGGGCCGCCAGGGCCCGGGACAGUUGGGAAGGAGGCCCAGUUGUGACUAUCAGCCUGCCGAGCAUGGCUGCAUGGAGGAGAGGUUCCUGUAGCUAAGGACAAGAGUGUGAGGACCCCGGAGGUGGUCCAGCCCCGUCACUGUACAGAUGAGGAGCCUGGGGCCCAGAGGGCAAGGGCCCUGACCAGGCCCCUGACCCCUCGGUCCCGGCUCUCCCCUCUCCUGCGCCUCUCAGACUCCUUCCAGUUCAGGAGCCUGGCAAUGACCUCUCUACUGGGACAGCACUGCCGGGGUCCCCGCUUCCCGGAGUCCCGGGCAGGGGACUCACAUGGAUGCAUCUCAUGCCUCGGUUUGCCCUUUCCUCCCUGCCACAGACUCCCUCCAGCGCUUUCCAGCUGCAAGAAAGAGCCCCUGAAGACAGCUGUAGCUGCAUGUAGGCGAGAAGAAGGUUUUGAAAAGCACAUGGGAUGCAAUUUUAU